AUGGAAGACCAAACCAAAGAAAGUAGAAAGAGUUGUUUCAGAAAGCUUCUCAUGGGAAGAAACAAGAGUAGAAGAAUGCUGUGGUUAAAGAAAAUGAAGAAGCAAAUUUGGAGUUGGAGAUUCUCUGCGUUUAAGUGGAAACGACUGGAUAAUCUUCAAACUACAUUCAUGGAUACUGUCGUUUAUAGGAUACUGUCUGUCGCUGAGGCUGUUGUUCUUGUUUCCACUGUUUGCUUCUUCUUUCUUUGUUGUGGCUGUCAUUUCUGA